rnacentral:lncRNA from 1 species
AUGAGCACAUUGAUUUUUAACCUUGGACUCACGGUGCUAAAGGCUAACUCACUGGAUACAAAUAAAGAAGGUGGAAGUGUUUUAAGGAAGUCAAGAGACAUAAAAAAGGGAAGGAAAGAGUUCAGGCAAAGAAGUCAAAAGGGUAGCAAGAUGGAUGUCGAGGGGACCUUGGUAGUCAGAGGAUCUGAGGACCUCUCUGUGGGGUACUUUGUGUGUGGAGAAGGUAGGACUGGCCAUUGCUGGAAGUAUGCAUCUUGGGUACCCAGGAAUUUCCAGUAAGUGAUCUAGCCUUCCUUAUAUUCAAUAAUAUCACUAAGAAGAGAUUUUAUGCCGGUCUACAAUUUCACUCUGAAGAAUGCAUUACUAAAGCCUGUUUUAUUAAAAUUAUUUUUCAAACUGAGUAUGGCUUUAUUUUUUUAUCAUUGUGAAAG